CCCAGACUCCUACGGGAGGCAGCAGUGGGGGAUAUUGCACAAUGGGGGAAACCCUGAUGCAGCGACGCCGCGUGAGUGAAGAAGUAUUUCGGUAUGUAAAGCUCUCUCAGCAGGGAAGAAAAAAGACGGUACCUGACUAAGAAGCCCCGGCUAACUACGUGCCAGCAGCCGCGGUAAUACGUAGGGGGCAAGCGUUAUCCGGAUUUACUGGGUGUAAAGGGAGCGUAGACGGCAAUACAAGUCGGAAGUGAAAUACCCGGGCUUAACCUGGGAACUGCUUUGGAAACUGUAUGGCUGGAGUGCUGGAGAGGUAAGCGGAAUUCCUAGUGUAGCGGUGAAAUGCGUAGAUAUUAGGAGGAACACCAGUGGCGAAGGCGGCUUACUGGACAGUAACUGACGUUGAGGCUCGAAAGCGUGGGGAGCAAACAGGAUUAGAUACCCCAGUA
rnacentral:rRNA from 1 species